rnacentral:lncRNA from 1 species
AUGCCCAUGUCACAGCCACAGAACACGGCCACACGCCCAUGUCACAGUCACACGCCCAUGUCACAGCCACAGAACAUGGCCACACACCCAUGUCACAGUCACAGAACACAGCCACACACCCAUGUCAUGGCCACAGAACAUGGCCACGUGCCCAUGUCACAGCCACAGAACACGGCCACACGCCCAUGUCACAGCCACAGAACAUGGCCACACGCCCAUGUCACAGCCACAGAACAUGGCCACACACCCAUGUCAUGGCCACAGAACAUGGCCACGUGCCCAUGUCACAGCCACAGAACACGGCCACACGCCCAUGUCACAGCCACAGAACACGGCCACAUGCCCACAUCAUGGCCACAGACACAGCCACACACCCAUGUCACAGUCACAGAACACGGUCACACGCCCAUGUCAUGGUCACAGAACACAGCCACAUGCCCAUGUCACAGCCACAGAACACGGCCACACGCCCAUGUCAUGGUUACAGAACACGGCCACAUGCCCAUAUCACAGCCACACGCCCAUGUCAUAGUCACAGAAUACGGCCACAUGCCCAUGUCACAGCCACAGAACAUGGCCACAUGCCCACAUCAUGGCCACAGAACACAGCCACAUGCCCAUGUCAUGGCCACAGAACACAGCCACACACCCAUGUCAUGGCCACAGAACACGGCCACACGCCCAUGUCACAGCCACAGAACACAGCCACAUGCCCAUGUCAUAGUCACAGAACACAGUUGCAUGCCCACAUCAUGGCCACAGAACACAGCCACACACCCAUGUCACAGCCACAGAACACAGCCACAAGCUCACAUCACAGCCACAUGCCUGUGUCAUAGUCACAGAACACAGCCACAUGCCCACAUCACAGCCACAGAACCUAGCCACACACCCACGUCACGGACACAGAACAUAGCCACAUGCCCACAGAGCACAGCCACACACUCACAUCAGGGACACGGAUGUGACACAGCCACAUGCCCACAUCAUGGAUCCUGCAGACAAUGGCUCUGA